AGAUAUUUGUGGAGUUCUCAUCGGCAAGCGAAAGCAAGGUCGCCCAUCAAGCUCUCACUGGACGUAAGUUUUCAAAUCGCGUGGUGGUCGUUUCCUACUUUGAGCCAGAAAAGUACCAUCGUAAGGAGUUUUCAUAGGUAUUGCAAUGUCCAUAUCACAAAACUCUUGGGGCGAGGAUUUUUAAAGUGAGCUUUAACGAGUGGCUUUGACUCAUGCAAGUGGAGAUAAUAUAUUGAAUGCGUACUCUUUGUCUCUUUGAAAAUUUGUCCACACAAAUUUUCACUUGGUUCCAAAUUUUUUUGGCAUGGUAUUAUGUGCUGUUAAAUUCAACUGGGCGUUAUACUGAGUACGCGUUUUACUAACUAUUAUUUCUAACUGUAUGUUUUGAUCUCUCGUCAGCUGUCAAGGUACCACGGGGUUGAGGAGUUUGUGUCAACGGGUUCAAACAAAACUAGUGAUUUGUAUCUUUUGUGAUACAAGUUGCUUCACAGGCGUAUAGACAAGCGCCUUUAUGUUUCUAGUGCUAUUCUCCCGUAAAGCUUCUACUUUUUCAUUUUCAACUAAGCUCUUAUACUGUAUUAUAAAUGUGAUUAAGAAUAUAAAAGCGUUUCUUUGUUUCACUAUAAAGUUCGAUGGUUCUCAUUGUUCCACCAACAAUGUUGAAAGAUUCUAGAGGAGAAUUUUGAAUAAAGUCGAACCUGAGCUAACAUUUUCCAAUAUUACCAAACAUAAUUUUCAAACAGAACUGCUCAUGACUAGC